rnacentral:rRNA from 1 species
GACGAACGCUGGCGGCGUGCUUAACACAUGCAAGUCGAACGGUAAGGCCCUUCGGGGUACACGAGUGGCGAGCGGGUGAGUAACACGUGGGUGAUCUGCCCUGCACUUCGGGAUAAGCCUGGGAAACUGGGUCUAAUACCGGAUAGGACCACUGCCUGCAUGGGUGGUGGUGGAAAGCUUUUGCGGUGUGGGAUGGGCCCGCGGCCUAUCAGCUUGUUGGUGGGGUGAGGGCCUACCAAGGCGACGACGGGUAGCCGGCCUGGGCGGGUGAACGGCCACACUGGGACUGAGAUACGGCCCAGACUCCUACGGGAGGCAGCAGGGGGGAAUAUUGCACAAUGGGCGCAAGCCUGAUGCAGCGACGCCGGGUGGGGGAUGACGGCCUUCGGGUUGUAACCCUCUUUCAGCACCGACGAAGCGCAAGUGACGGUAGGUGCAGAAGAAGGACCGGCCAACUACGUGCCAGCCGCCGCCGUAA